GCAGCCCCGGGGGGACCCUUGCGGCAGCCCUGCGGGGACCCUGCAGCAGGCUUGGGGCAACCCUGUGGCAGCCCCCAGGGACCUUUGCGGGAGUGAGGAGAUGACAGAAAAGGCAGCAGGAGCGCUGCGUUGGUGAGAAAACCAACGGACCAGGGUUGAAAUACUGAGGGAAGAAAGCGAAGUGAUGGAAGAAGACAGUGAAAUGAUCAAGAAAACAGGAAGGGAAUGAGUCAAGUGCCGAAGUUCAAAAUCCCAGAAGAGCUGGAGCCUAAACACAUUAAAUGGAGUGGUAAAUUGCUGAUCUUCAACCAUGCUGACCAGGCAGUUCUUCACGCACCUCUUCACACACCUUGCAGUCCGCCUAUCCAGAACUUAUUUCCUCAAUUUCACUACAAAUGUGCUGUGGAAGACCACAUCAAAAGCCUUGCCAGAUCAAGUAAUUGAACAUCUCAUUGCUGUGCUCCGGACUAACACAAUGAGGAGCAGCCUGUGAGGAAGAUAACACUAGCUUUGCGCUUAUAAUGGUCUAAUGAGCAACGUGGAGGAGGACAAAAGGCAUUGUGACUUUUGUAUUACUAUGGAGCUUGGAGAGAUUUUAUGAUAUAUGCAGUAAACUGGAAUGAAAGCACACUGAUUCCUAUGCAUAUAUAGUAUGUUGAUUUUAUUUGGUCUCAUA